rnacentral:sRNA from 1 species
GUCGAUUGGGAAACUCAUCGUACAUAGUUGAAAACCGAGACAACCCUCUCCUCCAAUGGCGGGCUACAACAGGCGCUUCGGUGUCUGUUCGCCUUGGGCGAUACAGUAGAUUACAAAGGGGGCGAGGUCCUCAAAUCCUGUUUUUCGGAGUUUUCACUUAAUC